CACCAUCUGUAGCACACCCUGCCACUGCCUCCUAUUUCUCUUCCGCCCUGACCUUCCUUGCUCCUCAUAUAAGGUAAAUCUGAAGCAUAUUCCACAUCAUUUCCUGGAGCUUCCCAAUGAGAUUGAGCUCCCAUUGUCCCCAGUGAUAAUUUACUUAAAAACUCAUGCUUUAUCAAUAUCCCCUCAUGCCUCAGUGUUUCCUGGGAGUGCUUUCCCAAUAAACCACUUGCUCUUGGAUCCUCAUCUCAGAAUUUGCUUCUAGGAAAAUUAACUAAGAUAGUAUCUGUCAGGCCUCUGAGCCCAAGCCAAGCCAUCACAUCCCCUGUGACUUGCAUGUAUAUGUCCAGAUGGCCUGAAGUAACUGAAGAAUCACAAAAGAAGUGAAUAGGCCCUGCCCCACCUUAACUGAUGACAUUCCACCACAAAAGAAGUGUAAAUAGCCAGUUCUUAAGUGAUGACAUUACCUUGUGAAAGUCCUUUUCCUGGCUCAUCCUGGCUCAAAAAGCACCCCCACUGAGCACCUUGUGACCCCCACUCCUGCCCACCAGAGAACAAACCCCCUUUGACUGUAAUUUUCCUUUACCUACCCAAAUCCUAUAAAACAGCCCCACCCUUAUCUCCCUUCACUGACUCUCUUUUUGGACUCAGCCCACCUGCACCCAGGUGAAAUAAACAGCCAUGUUGCUCACACAAAGCCUGUUUGGUGGUCUCUUCACACGGAAGCACAUGAAAUUUGGUGCCAUGACUCAGGUCAGGGGACCUCCCUUGAGAGUUCAAUCCCCUGUCCUCCUGUUCUUUUCUCUGUGAGAAAGAUCCACCUACGACCUCAGGUCCUCAGACCGACCAGCCCAAGGAACAUCUCACCAAUUUUAAAUCCGGAUUUAAUUAACCUCGCCUUCAAGAUGUACAAUAAUGGAAAAAAGUUGCAAUUCCUUGCCUCCACUGUGAGACAAACCCCAGCCACAUCUCCAGCACACAAGAAUUUCCAAAAGCCUGAACCGCAGCGGCCAGGCGUUCCUCCAGAACCUCCUCCCCCAGGAGCUUGCUACACAUGCCAGAAAUCUGGCCACUGGGCCAAGGAAUGCCCGCAGCCUGGGAUUCCUCCUAAGCUGCAUCCCAUCUGUGUGGGACCCCACUGAAAAUCGGACUUUUCAACUCACCUAGCAGCCACUCCCAGAGCCCCUGGAACUCUGGCUCAAGGCUCUCUGACUGACUCCUUCCCAGAUCUUCUCGGCUUAGCGGCUGAAGACUGACACUGCCCAAUCGCCUCGCAAGCCCCCUAGACCAUCACGGACGCCGAGCUUCGGGUAACUCUCACAGUGGAAGGCAUUACACCUAAAAGUAAUUUGAGCACCUUGAGCUUAGAGCCUACCUUGGCUAAUGGGAAACACUCCAGCUGUGCUAAGAUGGUCCUCAAUAGUCAACAAGCACUACUGAAAGUCUGGUAGGUGUGUGCAUUUGAAUGAAUCCUCAGUCUUCUCUAAUUCUGUCUGGAAGGAUUCAUUAAAGGCCUUUCUCAUGUCUUGAUUAAUUGCCCUUCAAGGAUAAAUUUUCAUGACAUAUAGAAGCCGUUUUUAUCUACAGCAUCAAUUUUUCUGCUAUAAAUGAGCAAAAUGAGUGUCCCAUCUCUGGACAUACCUGGUUAUGCAAGAACUUAACAUCCCUUGAUGCUUUGUGAAAAGAACAGUUAAGAUCUUUUGCCCAUGUAAAAUGGAAUCCAUCUAUUAAAAUUGUACCUUGAAUUGCUAAGUUUGAAAAGAUCAUACAAUAUCUCAUCUUUGGUUUUUGAACUGCAGAAAGUUAAUCUGAAAUAGUUCAAUUUGGGUAGUAGAAUUUCCAAAAGCUGCCCAAAAGACAAAAUCUAUUUGAAAAAAGAAAAAAAACCAGCAAAGUGGGAACAGGUUAAGUUGUCUUUCCAUUCCUUUGGUCAGUAUCAUUCAGUUUGGAUUAUAAUCCAUGAUUUCUAAAAUAUAACCCACUUCAUAUGCCCUUAAAGACUAAGACCUCUAUUAAAAGCAGAGCAUUUCUUGUCAUUCUUUCCAUUGUAUUGACCACUGAGCGAUUCAUUAACAAUUGAUCU